rnacentral:rRNA from 1 species
GACGAACGCUGGCGGCGUGCUUAACACAUGCAAGUCGAACGGUGAACCGGGCUUCGGCCCGGGGAUCAGUGGCGAACGGGUGCGUAACACGUGGGCAACCUGCCCCAGACACUGGGAUAACUCCGGGAAACCGGGGCUAAUACCGGAUACUCCGGUCGAACCUCAUGGUUCGAUCGGGAAAGCUACGACGGUCUGGAUGGGCCCGCGGCCUAUCAGCUUGUUGGCGAGGUAACGGCUCACCAAGGCGACGACGGGUAGCCGGCCUGAGAGGGCGACCGGCCACACUGGGACUGAGACACGGCCCAGACUCCUACGGGAGGCAGCAGUGGGGAAUAUUGCACAAUGGGCGGAAGCCUGAUGCAGCGACGCCGCGUGAGGGAUGACGGCCUUCGGGUUGUAAACCUCUUUCAGCAGGGAAGAAGCGAAAGUGACGGUACCUGCAGAAGAAGCACCGGCUAACUACGUGC